rnacentral:lncRNA from 10 species
GAGACCACCACUUCUCCUGUUGUCCUUCCCAGUUUCUCCCCAACCUCCCCUUUUCCCUAGUUUAUAAGACAGGAGAAAAGGGAGAAAGCAAAAAGUUGGAAAGAAACAGAAGUAAGAUAAAUAGCUAGACGACCUUGGCGCCACCACCUGGCCCUGGUGGUUAAAAUGAUAAUAAUAUUAACCCCUGACCAAAACUACUGGUGUUAUCUGUAAAUUCCAGACAUUAUAUGAGAAAGCACUGUAAAACUUUUUGUACUGUUAGCUGAUGUAGGUAGCCCACAGUCACAUUCCUCACACUUACUUGAUCUAUUAUGACUCUUUCACGUAGACCCCUUAGAGUUGUAAGCCCUUCAAAGGGCUAGGAAUUUCUUUUUCGGGGAGCUCGGCUCUUAAGAUGCGAGUCUGCUGAUGCUCCCGGCCGAAUAAAAAACCUCUUCCUUCUUUAA